GACAGGGUAGCUCAGCUGGUUAGAGCGGCGGAUUCAUAACCCGCAGGUCGGGAGUUCAAGUCUCCCCCUUGUCA
rnacentral:tRNA from 3 species